UUCCGGAGCUUAGCGGUCGCGAAGCUGAGCGCAGCGCCCCCACGUGGUGCAGAGAGGGAGAAGGGAAAAAAAAAAAAGGCUCAGUCGCUGCCGCAGGUCUGGGUCUCAAGGGCCGAUGUGACAGAGAAGUCCAGGCGAUCACAGGUGGCAGUUCUGGCCAAUCAGGAGAAGCAAUUAAUUUAUCCAGCUGAUCAGCUAAACUGACAUUGCUGAAAAAUGUGCACAUAUUCAGAAAUGGGAAGGAACCUAAAACAAGAAACAUCACUCAGAAAAUGCAUAAGAAGUCUUACAAGUGUUACAAGUCAACUCAAUCUUGGGAAAGGAGAAGAGAAAAAUCUUUAGAAACUUCAUUUUGUACUUGUUUAGCAGAUUUUCAGUUCUAUUCAUAUAUUUUACAAAAUAAAGUAACAUUCCUCUAACCUUUGUAUUGUCUGUUUCCUGAUCUGGUCUAUCUCAAAGGGCUAACACAGGGGUAGUCAACUUUUUUAUACCUACCGUCCACUUUUGUAUCUCUGUUAGUAGUAAAAUUUUCCAAUCGCCCACCGGUUCCACAGUAAUGGUGAUUUAUAAAGAAAGGAAGUAACUUAACUUUAUAAAAUUUAUAAAGUAGAGUUACAGCAAGUUAAAGCAUAUAAUAAUAAUUACCAAAUACUUUAUGUUGGACUUUCGCUA